CGGCAACAGCUCAAAUUUGAAAUCUGCCCGCAAGGGCCGAGUUGUAAUUUGUAGAGGAUGCUUCUGGGCAGCGGCCGGUCUAAGUUCCUUGGAACAGGACGUCACAGAGGGUGAGAAUCCCGUACGUGACCGGCGCGCACCCUCCACGAAGCUCCUUCGAC
rnacentral:rRNA from 1 species